AGAGUUUGGGUUCAUGCUCAGAUUGAACGCUGGCGGCAGGCCUAACACAUGCAAGUCGAACGGUAGCACAGAGAGCUUGCUCUCGGGUGACGAGUGGCGGACGGGUGAGUAAUGUCUGGGAAACUGCCUGAUGGAGGGGGAUAACUACUGGAAACGGUAGCUAAUACCGCAUAACGUCGCAAGACCAAAGAGGGGGACCUUCGGGCCUCUUGCCAUCAGAUGUGCCCAGAUGGGAUUAGCUAGUAGGUGGGGUAACGGCUCACCUAGGCGACGAUCCCUAGCUGGUCUGAGAGGAUGACCAGCCACACUGGAACUGAGACACGGUCCAGACUCCUACGGGAGGCAGCAGUGGGGAAUAUUGCACAAUGGGCGCAAGCCUGAUGCAGCCAUGCCGCGUGUAUGAAGAAGGCCUUCGGGUUGUAAAGUACUUUCAGCGGGGAGGAAGGUGUUGUGGUUAAUAACCGCAGCAAUUGACGUUACCCGCAGAAGAAGCACCGGCUAACUCCGUGCCAGCAGCCGCGGUAAUACGGAGGGUGCAAGCGUUAAUCGGAAUUACUGGGCGUAAAGCGCACGCAGGCGGUCUGUCAAGUCGGAUGUGAAAUCCCCGGGCUCAACCUGGGAACUGCAUUCGAAACUGGCAGGCUAGAGUCUUGUAGAGGGGGGUAGAAUUCCAGGUGUAGCGGUGAAAUGCGUAGAGAUCUGGAGGAAUACCGGUGGCGAAGGCGGCCCCCUGGACAAAGACUGACGCUCAGGUGCGAAAGCGUGGGGAGCAAACAGGAUUAGAUACCCUGGUAGUCCACGCCGUAAACGAUGUCGAUUUGGAGGUUGUGCCCUUGAGGCGUGGCUUCCGGAGCUAACGCGUUAAAUCGACCGCCUGGGGAGUACGGCCGCAAGGUUAAAACUCAAAUGAAUUGACGGGGGCCCGCACAAGCGGUGGAGCAUGUGGUUUAAUUCGAUGCAACGCGAAGAACCUUACCUGGUCUUGACAUCCACAGAACUUUCCAGAGAUGGAUUGGUGCCUUCGGGAACUGUGAGACAGGUGCUGCAUGGCUGUCGUCAGCUCGUGUUGUGAAAUGUUGGGUUAAGUCCCGCAACGAGCGCAACCCUUAUCCUUUGUUGCCAGCGGUUAGGCCGGGAACUCAAAGGAGACUGCCAGUGAUAAACUGGAGGAAGGUGGGGAUGACGUCAAGUCAUCAUGGCCCUUACGACCAGGGCUACACACGUGCUACAAUGGCGCAUACAAAGAGAAGCGACCUCGCGAGAGCAAGCGGACCUCAUAAAGUGCGUCGUAGUCCGGAUUGGAGUCUGCAACUCGACUCCAUGAAGUCUGAAUCGCUAGUAAUCGUAGAUCAGAAUGCUACGGUGAAUACGUUCCCGGGGCUUGUACACACCGUCCGUCGACCAUGCGAGUGGUUUGCAAAAGAAGUAGUAGCUUAACCUUCGGGAGGGCGCUUACCACUAUGUGAUUCAUGACUGGGAUGAGUCGUACAAAGGGUACCAACGGAAAGUAUUAGACGUGCUUUGUUCUCCGCGGAAACUCAUAGGCUGGGUUUAAAGCCAACACCCCUCCCCCCCCGAAAAUUUUUUUAAACGC
rnacentral:rRNA from 1 species